UACGUAGGGCGCGAGCGUUGUCCGGAUUUAUUGGGCGUAAAGAGCGCGUAGGCGGCCAGGUAGGUCCGCUGUGAAAACUCGAGGCUCAACCUCGAGAUGUCGGCGGAAACCAUCUGGCUAGAGUCCGGAAGAGGAGAGUGGAAUUCCUGGUGUAGCGGUGAAAUGCGCAGAUAUCAGGAAGAACACCCGUGGCGAAGGCGGCUCUCUGGGACGGUACUGACGCUGAGACGCGAAAGCAUGGGGAGCGAACAGG
rnacentral:rRNA from 1 species